GGUUGUAUAGUGUAGCGGUUAGCACGUGGGCUUUUGAUUGAUCAUCGAUAUCAUUAGAUUGCCCGAAUCCCAAGUUCGAACCUUGGUACGACCU
rnacentral:tRNA from 1 species